rnacentral:rRNA from 1 species
CCUACGGGGGGCUGCAGUGGGGAAUUGUUCACAAUGGGCGCAAGCCUGAUGACGCAACGCCGCGUGGGGGAUGAAGGCCUUCGGGUCGUAAACCCCUGUCGAACGGGACGAAAGACUCUGGAGCUAAUCAUCCGGAGAGUGACGGUACCGUUAAAGGAAGCCACGGCUAACUCUGUGCCAGCAGCCGCGGUAAUACAGAGGUGGCAAGCGUUGUUCGGAAUUACUGGGCGUAAAGGGCGCGUAGGCGGCCUACUAAGUCAGACGUGAAAUCCCCC